rnacentral:rRNA from 1 species
CUUGAACGCUGGCGUCAGGCCUAACACAUGCAAGUCGAACGAGUGGCGGACGGGUGAGUAAUGUCUGGGAAACUGCCCGAUGGAGGGGUAUAACUACUGGAAACGGUAGCUAAUACCGCAUACCAUCGGAUGUGCCCAGAUGGGAUUAGCUAGUAGGUGGGGUAACGGCUCACCUGGGCGACGAUCCCUAGCUGGUCUGAGAGGAUGACCAGCUAAACUGGAACUGAGGCACGGUCCAGACGCCUACGGGAGGCAGCAGGGGGGAAUAUUGCACAAUGGGCGAAAGCCUGAUGCAGCCAUGCCGCGUGGAUGAAGAAGGCCUUCGGGUUGUAAAGUACUUAAAGCGAGGAGGCGUUACUCGCAGAAGAAGCCCCGGCUAACUCCGUGCCAGCAGCCGCGGUAAUAC